NNNNNNNNNNNNNNNNNNNNNNNNNNNNNNNNNNNNNNNNNNAGUUAAAAGUGCUUGAAUUGUUGAGAGGGAAGCGAUUGGCGCUCGUAGGUGCGCCCAGGCUUAAGCGGUCCUAACGGCCCGUUGAAUGUGCUGGGUGCUGGUCAGAAUGGGUUGAGUUGGCGGGACAANAGCUGGGUCCACCCAGGUAACCCGGCCGAUGCCGCCGACUCGACCAAGGCGUAAAGAGUACCUUGUCCUUCGGGAUCUGUGCUCUAAAGAUUCUGGCAGAAGAGCGUCAAUCGACCCGUCUUGAAACACGGACCAAGGAGUCUAACAUGUAUGCGAGUUGGCGGGUGGAAAACCCGUAAGCGCAAGUAACCUGACUGGUGGGAUGGGGUAAAACCCUGCACCAUCGACCGACCAUGUUGUUUCUACGAAAGGUUUGAGUGCGAGCAUACCUGUUGGGACCCGAAAGAUGGUGAACUAUGCCUGAGCAGGGUGAAGCCAGAGGAAACUCUGGUGGAGGCUCGUAGAUGUGCUGACGUGCAAAUCGCUUUUCAGACUUGGGUAUAGGGGCGAAAGACUAAUCGAACCAUCUAGUAGCUGGUUCCCUCCGAAGUUUCCCCCAGGAUAGCUGGAGCUUGAUCAGUUUUAUCGGGUAAAGCGAAUGAUUAGAGGUUCGGGGGAUGAAACAUCCUUCACCUAUUCUCAAACUUUAAAUAGGUAAGACGUGUCGGUUGCUUAAUUGAACCGGCACAUUCAAUGUGAGCUCCAAGUGGGCCAUUUUUGGUAAGCAGAACUGGCGAUGCGGGAUGAACCGAUAGUCGAGUUAAGGUGCCAAACUACGCGCUAACCUAGAUCCCACAAAGGGUGUUGAUUGAUAUAAACAGCAGGACGGUGGUCAUGGAAGUCGAAAUCCGCUAAGGAGUGUGUAACAAC
rnacentral:ncRNA from 1 species